rfam:Schistosoma curassoni strain Dakar, Senegal genome assembly, scaffold: SCTD_scaffold0004841
AUCCAGCUGACGAGUCCCAAACAGGACGAAACGUGCGACCUGGAU